rnacentral:rRNA from 1 species
CUACAGAGGGUGCGAGCGUUAAUCGGAAUUACUGGGCGUAAAGCGCGCGUAGGCGGCUUGGUCAGUCGGAUGUGAAAGCCCCGGGCUCAACCUGGGAAUGGCAUUCGAUACUGCCAGGCUAGAGUAUGGGAGAGGGAAGUGGAAUUUCCGGUGUAGCGGUGAAAUGCGUAGAUAUCGGAAGGAACACCAGUGGCGAAGGCGACUUCCUGGCCCAAUACUGACGCUGAGGUGCGAAAGCGUGGGGAGCGAACAGGAUUAGAAACCCCAGUAGUCC